CCUACGGGGGGCAGCAGUGGGGAAUAUUGGACAAUGGGGGCAACCCUGAUCCAGCCAUGCCGCGUGUGUGAAGAAGGCCCUCGGGUUGUAAAGCACUUUCAGUGAGGAAGAACGCCUGGUGGUUAAUACCCAUCAGGAAAGACAUCACUCACAGAAGAAGCACCGGCUAACUCCGUGCCAGCAGCCGCGGUAAUACGGAGGGUGCGAGCGUUAAUCGGAAUUACUGGGCGUAAAGCGCGCGUAGGUGGCUUGAUAAGCCUGUUGUGAAAGCCCCGGGCUCAACCUGGGAACGGCAGCCGGAACUGGCAAGCUAGAGUGCAGUAGAGGAUGGUAGAAUUCCCGGUGUAGCGGUGAAAUGCGUAGAGAUCGGGAGGAAUACCAGUGGCGAAGGCGGCCUUCUGGACUGACACUGACGCUGAGGUGCGAAAGCGUGGGUAGCAAACAGGAUUAGAUACCCUGGUAGUC
rnacentral:rRNA from 1 species